CGGCCUGCAGCCUGGGCUUUUUGCGGCUCUUCCUGCCGGUUUGCAGGUUGCAGACAAAACCCACGCUCAAGUGGAGGCGUCUUGAGUUUUCACCAGGGCCUGCCGCAGGGCCUCCAGGAAGCCAGUGGCCGGACCUCAGAGUCACACAGUGUUAGACUUGGACCUCCGUGGUUAUCACCAAAAUGAGGUUUCAAACACACUGUCAAUUGGGGUUCCUUAUGGGGAACUCACUCAUUGGAUUAUGCAAGCCAAGAAGUCUUGAGAGGUACUGACCGAAAGCUGGAGACCCUGGAAAACCAAGGGUGUAAAUCCAAUUUGAUCCCGAGGGCCAGAGGAGUGGACAGUGUAGAUCCAAGGCCAAGGGCAGGAGAAGACAGAUAUCCCAGCUCAGCCAGCCAGAUAUUAUGAAAUACUCCAAAAAUAAGAAGAGAGGUCACUAAAACUGUAAGGGUGUCAAAGAGGACGUAUCCAGGUCCUAGAGCCUAGGAACUUGGUGUGCCAACUGCAGGAUUCACCUACAAAGUCUCAGAGAUGAAGACACUUAUUCUUCAAAAGUAUACCUGGAAGACAGACUGCAGUGGCUGACCUGGUUUUCUUCCCUCACUCGUGUCAUCUGAUACUAGAAGUCCGUUUCUUUCUACGUUUACCAAGUGGAUGUUUGUCUGCAGGGCAAGCAUAUGCAUUUCAGGAAGUGAGCUGUGAAGAAUGUAGCAAGUCCACAUCUGUUCAGGUGGCGGUGCAGCAGCCCUAGAAUCAGCCCCUGUCCCUGGGGCCACCUCAUCCACCCAGUGCUGGAGCUGGACCACUUGAGCCUUUCUGCCAGUCAAAGGUCAUGGUUAGAAUCUCUCACUUUAUUUAUUUAUUGGUU